GCGGAAGUAGCUCAUUUGGUAGAGCGACAGCCUUCCAAGCUGUAGGUAGCGGGUUCGAGACCCGUCUUCCGCUCCA
rnacentral:tRNA from 1 species